rnacentral:rRNA from 1 species
UACGUAGGUGGCGAGCGUUAUCCGGAAUUAUUGGGCGUAAAGAGCGCGCAGGUGGUUGAUUAAGUCUGAUGUGAAAGCCCUUGGCUCAACUGAGGAAGUGCAUCCGAAACUGGCAGGCUAGAGUACUAAAGAGGAUCGCGGAAUUCCCGGUGUAGAGGUGAAAUUCGUAGAUAUCGGGAGGAACACCGGUGGCGAAGGCGGCGAUCUGGGUAGAUACUGACGCUGAGGUGCGAAAGCGUGGGGAGCAAACAGG